ensembl:lncRNA
UAUAUAUAUAUAUAAUAUAAUUAAACCCAGACAAUUUACUGAAGCAGAUUUGUCUUUUUUCCUACUUACUUAGCAAAUGUAAAGUCACUUUGAUGUCGGAAAACACCAUCUAAUGUGAGCCAGACAUCCCCUUUCUCAGCAGAGCAGAACUUACCUACAUCCUGUUCUCUACCAACAGAGGAGGAAUAGGUUCCACAGAACGAGGGAUUUACAGCACAGAAGCUAUAAAGGAAGGCAGAAAUGAUGUCACUUUCACGUUAAAAUCUCGGCUAAGGGAACUAAGAAAAGCAGCCUGUUUUCAGUAUUGUUUCACUCUAUUUUGGGUACUUACCUCAGGCAAUUUUUACAAAGAACUGAGCCGACCCGGUUCGAAAAAUACACUACGGAUUAUACAAAGAUAGUUAUUGGUUUUUGAGUUAUUAUUAUUUUGUCAAACUAGAACAUUUGGCUCAAAUGUUGGUUUUGAAUCGGUGCCCGGCAGGUUGUGCGAGUCAUGCUCCUUAUAAACUCAUUAGGGGGGAAAACCUACUUCGCUAACAAAUAGCUCAGCUAUAUAAAAGGAGCGAAGGGGGUCAGGAAGAAUCAUUUGAAUUUCGGGGUAGUUUGUUGGAGUGACAGGAGGUGACAAAGCGUGGGGCCUCUUGUGCAUCGUCUCCUAAAAACACUUCAGCUACAGUUCCGUGACCUGUUUAAAGAGAAGUGCAUUAAACAACCCAGGUUGCCAAACACUCAUCCCAUUUACUUCAGUCAGCUGCAUUUACCUCCCGACUGGCGCGCGGGCAGACGUGUUUGUUUGAAGUGAAUGCCACAGCCGGCUGAGUAAAUGCAGCCAAUCGUGCAGGGUGAGUAAUCGGAUGAGGAAAAGUGGUCGGAAGUUAAAACUGCACGGUAAUUCCAGAAAACCUUUCUGCGUCCAAAUCCACCGCCUCACACAAACUUUAUAUGCUCCUUAACAGCCUAAGUAGCCCUUUGUGCAUGACCUCACACGCCGGGUACUUAAAUUCAGUAGGCAGUGGUAAGAGUCAAUGUAGGAUUAAUAUAGGAGCUUGUUUGCCGUGUAGAGACACACUUUAAUAUUGAAUUGAAUGAGAAAAUGUGUCCAGUACUUUUGACUGGUACUGUAUACUAAUGCAGCUCUGCACUGCUCUCGUCCGAUGGUUACAGUUGAGCCCGCUUUGUUCCUGAAGCGCGGUUCCUCCUCCGGUUGGCGUCGUCAGCACAUUUGGCCACGAGCUGUCAGUUCAGGUGUCAGAGAGGCAAUUAAAAUGCUCCAAAUCUUGUUUGCUGCACCGUCACGGGGAGUUCAAUUGAAUAUUUAGGAAUACUUCAGAGCCAAAAUGAUGUAUUAGCAUGUCACUGUAUCACCUUGAAUUACUUCAACCCAUCAAGAGUUUUUCCAUCUGUCAGCAUGGAGGCGUUCUGUCAUUGUUGCCGACAGAAAAUCUCCAAUGCAGCAGCGUCCUCAGCAGAGGGGUAAACUGCGACAAAGAGGGUAAGGUUACCUUCUCAGAAGCCUUCCGUGUCCCUUGCUUUCCGAGUAGUACUCUAUGUGUCCCUCCUCCAGUGGUAGAGGAACAAACAAACAACAUGUUCUAGUCUAAUAAAAAAACAUGCAAAUAAAGUCAAUGAGUUCUUGGCUCAGGAGACAAGGCCAGGCCAUCAAACACAUUGAGACUACAACAUAGAAGCCAUCAUCAAAGUGGCGCAUUCAAAGGGUUCAGAACGCAGUCUUUUAACAAGAGAAGCGCUUUCCAGGAAACCUGUGAAAUUACUUCUGACUAAUAACUGCAAGAAGAUCCCUGCAGUGAGUCCUCAAGGAGUUCUGACUGGAGCAAAGUCCAUUUAUAAGUCCAUCGUUCACACACACAUGCUGCACAUGCAGUACAUUUCCAAGUCCGCCUACAAUUAUGACUUCUAUUAGUUCUCUCCAGUGUCGUGCUAACGCGCCCUCACUGCCCCCCACACACACACACACACAUCCAUCAGCUCACUAAGCCCUCUGUGCAGUGUCUCUAGAGAACCUACUGUGUGGCAGCAGUCAGCGGUAAGGUUUCCUAAACACAGACACACUUGGGGUGACAGAUUCCCACUUUACGCUUUCUCUCCUUUCUUGACGUAUCCAGACACAUGUGGCUAAUCACCGCGAACGGACGGAGGGAGGGAGGGGUCGUGCGGCUACAGCGUGAAAAACGCAUAGAUUACGUCCGGGAGCUAAGAAAGAGAGGGCCACUUCUACAGGCUAUCUCCCUCCCGCCCUCCUCGUCACGUCUUACAAGCCGAAGCAGCUGCCCCACGCGCACAAAACGUUCAAAUCCACCCUGGACAGGUAGUGCCACAUGUGCGGAAUUAAAAGCCUCUCGAGUGCGCCGGUUCUCGGGUUACCAGCUGCACGCGACAGCUGCCUGAAAAGGGAUCUGGUUUCUGGUGGUUUUUGUACAGUUGGUGAGAGAUGUGCAGCAAAAAGCAGGGAUUGUUAACCCCCCCCCCCUCCUAGUGGGUAAAGGACAGUUUGACUGUCAGGGACAGGAGGAGCAUUGUCUUACCUCCAUGAACUCAAAAUGAAUGUGGUACUGAAAAAUGUUUUGCAUGGGCUGCUAUCAAGAGUUUUAUAGAUGUCACAUAUGCGUUUUGCACAUCUUUUUUGCCAGACUUUCAAAAUCUGCCAUGGUUUAUGAAUGCAGACUGUAGGUGAGUGGAUUCCGACAACACUGCCGAGCACACAGCGCAAUCUGCUCACGUGCACAAGACAGGCCCAGCGUUUGUACGGACUGUGAGUCCCCGCCCUGAGACGCGUGGAGAAUAGGCUCUUGUCUGAGGAUACGCUGCUGGUCGUGAGAUAAUGUCUGAUUCACGUGGGGGGAGGGGGGGGGGGUGAAGGGGGGGUGACGGGCCGUGAGCGUCGGCCGUGAGGAGAACUGAUGCGUCCUGUCUCCGUCUCCGCUGUGCCGUCCUACCUAUCUCUGAAGAGAGACCUAUCUGUCCGCCCCGUAUCGCCGGGUUCGCUGUUACGGUGGAUUACAGAUAAUGCAGCCAAAAGAAGGUGAUGUCAUGUUUCCCGUUAUGAAUAGGACAUUAUUCUCAGAGGGGUUGAUUAUUGUUGAGGGGAAGAGCGAUGCUUGUGUGUGUGCACACGUAGGGUUUUGUAUCAAAUGAAAACAAAGAUCUGAGGAUGCCCAACAUGCGCAAGGGAAAUUCUUAGUGUGAAUGGAAUUUGGAAUUUUCACUUCCUUUCACUUUAAAGACGUCUUUCUAUCACGUGUGCAAGUGACUAGAAUGUGAACCCCUCGACACUCUCACACUGAGAAAACGCUCAGGGAGCGUGAAGAUGUGGUAAAAAAAAAAAAAAUCAACACAAACAGGAAGGUAUGUGAGGCGAUGGGGGGCGGACUUUGUUUGUCCCAAAAUAUAUAUUGCGUUUUCUGUACUGCAGCUUGCGUGCGUCGGGUUAACCAGUCCGUUAGAAAGUGACACCAAUGCAUGUAUGGAUUAAGAAAGUUGGUCAUGGAACGGUAAUGCCAGCUCCUGUUGGUAUCACUCGUAGGUGACCAGGAGGGGAAAUUAGCAAUGGCUCAAAUGUCCCUUGGUAAAGAUGCUAAAUGGAUAAAUUACACACAUAUAUAAAAUAAAUGUGAGCAUUUUAUCUGUUGUUCCUUUGUGCCGCUCAUUCAAAUCGCUUCACACUCACCACCACAAAAGAAGAAAAGAAUGACAUUGUGUUUUAAACAGUGCUCCGUUCAUUCUGCUACGUUAUUAUAGAGGCUCUUGUUUAACUUGUUUCGCGCUCUUUAAUGAUGCACAGAUUUGCUCCUCGCAGGUGAAUGCGAUUUAGCUAAGAUAAGAAACUCCUCCAGCAGGUCUGAUGGCCACAAAGCACAAAGAGUACGUGUUUUCUUGUUGCCUGUCCACAGUAUACUAUUUGACAGCGUGAUCAGGGUUGUGUAACUAUGUGGGAGCACGGGAACACACCAUGCUGUUUGUUUGGCAGGGCUACUCUGUCCCGCUGCCGCCUCCGACUCCCCAGACUACCACAUGUGCAGACAAACCCCCUGCAGAAGCACGUCAGCUGCUCAGAGAAUUAGCUAUUUGUUAUUAAUUCUGUUUAGUAUGGCCAAAUCGUCCCAGUGUCUGACCAUAUGGAUUAAUGCAUGACCACAGGCGUUGAUAUUUGGUGCCUAAAGGUUCACACACACAUUUAUUCACAGUGAAUUUGUUGUCACGGCCUUUUUCCGGCAGUGCAUGAAGAAAGUUAUACUUUAAAUUUAUAAAGGAUUUUUAAUGUCCCAUAAAACACAGGUUUUACAGGACACACAAUGACGUGGGGUGAUUGUGGGCUUUUUAAUGUAGAAAUAAUUACAAGCGUUUUCUUUACAAAUGGAUAAUACAGAAUAUAACACAAUCCCUUCUUCCCGAUUAAAUCCUCCUUUUAUUUUAUCGGCAGCUAAUACAUAUUUUGUUUUACUAUAUUGAUGUCUUUGUACUGUAGAAUUAAUUGUUAAUUCUGCUGCCAAACAUGUGACAUUUUUCCCCAUAUAGCCUUUUAAAAAGAGACUUCAUUUUUUUGCUUGUUACACUUAUCAGACAGUUGUUUUAUGUGCUUAUUCGCUGGGUUGUUGUUCGAUUGUGUGCAACAUUUUCUUCAGCACUACGCCCAGAUACAGAAUGUGGGUCAAAACAAUCCGUUUCCAGGUAAAUAGUUGCUGCAAAUCCAGGCCAGCAAUUUGUCUUCGCCCUGCAAUGAGGACAGAGAAACCACAAAGACAUGAGCGGCCCCACGGGGGACCUGACCGCGAUGUGUUUUCUUUACAGCUGUCAAAUGCCACAGCAACGAUGGCUCAAACAGAACAAAGAUCACACAAAAAUCAUAGAAAUGAACAUUUAAAAUCAUUUCACGGUGACAUUCCCAAACAAGCAUGCCUCUGAUUUGAAUGAGUGCAUUUGUUUAUUCGGUGGUUUGUCGUUCAUGAAUCCUCUACUGAACAAAAAGAAAACAUAUCCCUAAACGAUGGAACGUCUGUUGCAAGUGAAAUCGGAUUCUUAACGUGACGUUGCAGGGCCAUAUGGACUUGCCACAUAAUUCACUCUCAUUACCCAAUUUUAUUGUUCGUGUUCUCUUGGGUUUCUCCAGGCACAGGGAGAAGGGAAGUAGGAACUGAAGAGUGUGGAAAUAUUAGAGCUAAUUUAAUUAAGAGGCUGGCAAAGGCAAUAUUGUUUCAAACCAAACACAUUUGUGAACGAGGUCUGUUAACAUCGAGAUCCGAAGGGAGCAAACUGGAACAUGUUGCAGGUACAUGUGAAAUUCCGCUGAGCCAACUGGGCCUGAAAUACUGUGUCUAUUUCUAAACACUUUGGCUGUGAAUACAUUUUUUUGCUAUUGCCUUGGGUUCUUCAUCGGAGGGAAACAAAAUGUGUUAAAUAGAAGAAUUAGGAACUUUGGUUUGAUGUUUUGUACAUAGCAGAUUUAUAAUCCUUUUUCCUCACUCGCUUUCACCACCAACUGUAAAAUUACAUUUCACCAUGUCUGUGGCCAUGCAUGUGACCACGAUGUGGAUAAUGAAACGAAUAACACUGUUGCAACUUGACAUACAUUCGCCCUGAAUGUACAGACAAAGUAUUGAUGAGUUUCUCCUCCUCCAUAAAACGUUUCAAUCUACACACCACAUCUUCUAUUAUACAUUUCAAACACCACAGAACUGGUUGCAAACUUGUUCUACCUGUUCCACCACUUACACCCCCAGCCCCCCCCCCCACCCUCCCCCCACCCUCAUAAACCUCCCAUUGCCCGCUUUGUUGAGACCACUGCCCACUUCGUGCUGCCUCAUCUCGCUGUCGUACCACUCCACCACAGGACAGCUCAGCCUGUCAGCAUUGCGACGGUCAAACCCAGAAGCACCUGAGCAGCUCGUCCUGUGGUCCCGCAAGACGAACUGGAUCACAUAUUGCUGCCCUUUCUUAUGAGAAACUAAAGGUCUGUCGACUAGGUUGAGUAUAAAAGAGGUGGAGGAGGAAGAGGAGAGGGGAGAGUUGGCAUGGUUGUGAAAACCUUGAGAGCAAACAAACUCUGCAUGUGAGGGGGAGGAUAUUAUUGCUCAGUCUCUGGGUGGGUGGUGGGGGGGGGGGGAUUCACUCUGACCCCCUGCAGACAUUAAACUGCGAACGAGGCCCGCUGGUCGCUGUGGACUCGGUCCAGACAGCCUUGUAACGGGACCAGUUCUCUGACGUAGAGAGAGCCGCAGCGGGGCGGCCGAGCUGCGCUAAUGAAGACCUUCCCCAGCUGAUUAUCCUGAGGACACAGCCAGUCUCUCUGUGGGGCCCACACAGGGACACACACACACACAAACGGUCAUUGAGGCAUCACUGGAAGACAUGCAAAAAAACAUAUACAAGCACACACACAGUGGGAGGGAAGGGGGGGGGGGGUGUCCUUCUACAGAUGUGUUUGAUGUUCCCUGUUGCCUUUUGUUGCAUCAGCACAAGGCAGUCUUUGUGCGCCUGAUGCUGCUGCUGAGGCUGCACGGUACCAGGGAAAUAGUCCAGGACCCUAGAAGCAGCAGUGUUUCUGACCAAUGGGGGGAGGGGGAGGGGGGAUGGGGGGGCGUGUGGGCGAUGUAAUCUGGGUCACACGAGGAGAACUCUGACUCCAGGAGGCCGCCACCGAUUCUGUCACCUACUGCUUUCUUCAGAGCAGAACAGGCUGCCUGUGAUCACACCUGCCGCUGAGCAUGUGGGUGCUCAUCUUUCAAAUAUGCUUUACACCGUGAGAUGUGCGUUGCCUUAAAAAAGAUUUCUUUAUCUGGAGCAUUUUAAGUAUCUUAUGACUUUUUUUUUACCCUCAAUCAGGACUUCAUGCUCUUAAAAUGAUCCUUAUUUUCCCCACAUUGAUUCUAGAAGUUCUAGAUUUCCUCGGUGGGGCAUAACCUGAUCCACUCAUUAAAAAUCGAUCUCAAAUGAAGACAAUUCUAUUUAAUACACCUUAGAGGGUUACAACCUACAUGUCUUUAAAAAAGGUCAAAUAACUUGACGUAUUUGAAGGAUAAAAUGAAGAACAACUCUCCUUUGGAAAGUUGAACCUUUAGACAAACAUUAAAGGAAUAGUUUAAACGUAUGGGAGGUCUUGAUGCUGGAGGAAGCUUAGUAGUUACAGAUAUUAGUUUUUGUGUUGCCAUGGCAACAUGAACAAAACCGCAAAAAGAAAAAGUUUGUAUCGUAGUUCACGUUAUUCACAAUUAUUGUAAUGUUAUUCGUUUUUGGCUCCAACAAGAACAUGAUCUGAUUACGUAAUAAUUUCAUCGAUGAUUAAUGGAAGAUACCUAAUAAUAUUUUUAGAGCAUCAUGCGUUUUACAGUUGCCACCUACUAUGUCUCAAACAAACCAUUGUGUAAACAUCAGUUAUUAUUGUCGUUAUUUUUUUUUUUUAAACACACUAGACUAAGUGAUAAUCCUCCUGCAUAGUCAAACAAUCCUUUAAAUGAAUUCACAGUGUGGACGUCAACAACACAACAGCCACAUCAAGGGCCGCAUGUUAGAAUACACUACAUCCCUGAAAACAAAAACAGAGCAAUGCAUCCAGAUACACAUGUUUACAUAUUGACACACAGGCAAUCUCAGAGGAUCAGCGCGCUCUGAAAUCCCCCUGGGAUGUUUUUCACAGCAAGAGCCAGCAGCUCAGCCCCCCCCGAGGAUUUAGACACGUUGGUGUGUGUGUGUGUGUGUGUGUGUGUGUGUGUGUGUGUUUACGUAUGUGUGUUCGGAAAAGACAGCGAGGUGUGCAUUUGGAAGGGGAUGGUUUUAAUUUGCAUAAAUGUGACCGAUGAGAUCAAGAUUAUUUACAGGAUUUGUCAAUCCUAUGAAGGGAGUCUAUUUCCCCACUAACUCAACUAACUACUAACUCACAACGUUCAAGGCCCCCUUAAAAACAUUUCACCUUCUCCCGGUUUCCUCUCUCCGUGAUCCUCCAUUACGCGGCAGUUAUCUUUUACAAUUUAUCGACUUUCUUUCUCAACUUUUUUUUCUUUUUCUGCUUUCUUCUUUUUCUUUCUCAUCCCUAUCGCUGUGGCCACGUCCUUUAACCAGGAAUAUGGUAGUAAUAUCGAGUAAAAGGAAUUAAAGCAUUUGCUAAUCUGACACUGAGGGAUUACCAUCGCUGUUCUUUGAGGGGGAGAACAAUUUAUAGACAAACAUAUGGAAACAACAGAUCACAUCAUGGUAAACAUCCAAAUUUGACUCAGAAGAACGCAGAAUAUAUCUUUAUUUGCAUUCAAUUAUAACAUUCAGGAAAGUGGGGAAUCCCGUCUUUGCAUUAGAGAAAUAGUUUCAGCCUCCGGAUUUUCUUCUGUCCUCCUCAAUCGGCCGGUUUGGUGAGGAGGUUGGGUUGUAAUACCAGCUGAACUAAGUCAUUGUUUUUUAUGAGUUGUAAUCUCCUGCCGAACCAAAGAGGAAGAGAUAAUGAAUGUAUGGAGAUCAACACAUGCUGGAGCUUAAAGAUAACGAUGCCGACAAACAAGGCAAGUGAGCCUGAUGUCCCUGAUUGGUCUCUCCGUGUUGCGGGGAAGGAUGGAAGAAUGUAGACUAUCCAGUGGAGGAGCGACAAAAAAAAACUACUGUAGUGGAAGAAGUAUCAAUAUUGUGCAACAUAAGUUACUCAAACAUAUCAGUAACAUCAAAUACUCUAGUACCG